UACGUAGGGGGCAAGCGUUGUCCGGAUUUAUUGGGCGUAAAGAGCGUGUAGGCGGCCAUGUAGGUCCGGUGUGAAAACUCGAGGCUUAACCUCGAGAUGUCAUCGGAAACCAUUUGGCUAGAGUCCGGAAGAGGAGAGUGGAAUUCCUGGUGUAGCGGUGAAAUGCGCAGAUAUCAGGAAGAACACCCGUGGCGAAAGCGGCUCUCUGGGACGUGACUGACGCUGAGACGCGAAAGCGUGGGGAGCAAACAGG
rnacentral:rRNA from 1 species